rnacentral:rRNA from 1 species
CCUACGGGGGGCAGCAGUGAGGAAUAUUGGUCAAUGGGAGAGAUCCUGAACCAGCCAAGCCGCGUGAGGGAAGACGGCCCUAUGUGUUGUAAACCUCUUUUGUCGGAGAACAAAACCCGGGUCGUGUCCCGGACUGCGUGUAUCCGCAGAAAAAGCAUCGGCUAACUCCGUGCCAGCAGCCGCGGUAAUACGGAGGAUGCGAGCGUUAUCCGGAUUUAUUGGGGUUAAAGGGUGCGUAGGCGGUCCGUUAAGUCAGCGGGAAAAUUGCGGGGCUCAACCCCGUCGAGCCGUUGAAACUGGCAGACUUGAGUUGGCGAGAGGUACGCGGAAUGCGCGGUGUAGCGGUGAAAUGCAUAGAUAUCGCGCAGAACUCCGAUUGCGAAGGCAGCGUACCGGCGCCAGACUGACGCUGAGGCACGAAAGCGUGGGGAUCGAACAGGAUUAGAUACCCCGGUAGUC